CGUGCAGUUGUUCGGACGACGGGUCGAGAGGACAACAGAAUCAACGGUGGCUGCCCCGAGGCUGCCAUGGAAGGCCACGGCCCGCUUCCCAGCAGGAAGCAGCAACGGUGGCGUGUUCUCUACCGUGGUUCUCGGCGGCAAGCUACUGGUGGGUGACACCGGGACUUCGCUGAAGGCUGCACCAUUCGGGUACUGCUGCCGGCUGUUUCGCGGUUGCUCCCCAUACCAGGCAGGGCACGUCCUGGAGCACAUCAUCUUCGACCUGAAGAGGCUUUGGUUCUUCGGAGGUUCAUCGGUGACAGCCACAUUGGCAGCCACCUGACGGUCCUCGCUGCCAUCGUGAAGUGGUCAGUCCUGUUGCACCAUCAGCCGCCCCAUGGAUACGCCGUUACCUGAUUUGUGUACACGAUCACCAAAAAACUGCAGUCAGGCAACGCAUCACCACUUGGCUCUUCGGCGAGACAUGGGGAGAUGCCUUCCGCCUAGAGGAGCUGACUCGGCCACCAGCUGUUCCAUGGCCGUGUUGGCACGUUCGCCUCAUGUCGCCUGUGCCCUGGAUGGUCGCGCAGAAAAGCCGCAAGGUCCACCCAAGAUCCCCGGACGAGGCCAGCCGGUCGGCGGCCACGACAACCACAGUGGAGAGCGCACAGAAUUAGGGGGCCGUAACGUUCUCCGAGGCAAGGGAUUACUCCGAGGGAAGCCGGCCGCGACGGCUAAUGAACACUCCUUCGGCGCUUGAACAUCUUGGAUACCACACACCGAGAAUUCCACCAUGCAUCAGGAGUGUUUCGACCAUGCUGUCGUCAGUCCCCACCGUGCCACAAUCUCUCGUAUUUGUAACGACGAUGUGUCGGGCACGGUUCUUGCUUCCCUAAGCGUUAGGGUGGUAUAUUUAUGCGUGAUUUGCGCGUUUAUUUUCUGUGGCGAUUAUGGUUCGCGCCAAUUUCCAAUUGUAGCGUAUUUAUACGUACGUAGUCGUGUUGUCUCGCAUAUAAUAAUUGAUUAAUACGAUAUUUUUUUUGGUAAUAAUUGUCCAUUAUAUUACUGCGUUGAAAAUUAUUCGUUUGGAAGAGUUCCGGAAGGUUUGCCCAAGAGUUCCGGGAGGUAUUCCAAUAUUUCAUUUCAGCUAGCGACCGUCCAAACAACCAUCAGCAAAAGCCAGACGUUGUCUCAAAGGAACCUUGUUGUGCAUUUAUUAUAUUCGGGCACAGACAUGACCCGCAACACCCGCAACAAUGACCCGCAGCCAACUCGUACGAGGCUCUUGCGCUGCUCUUCACAUCGUGGGACAAUUGCCUGCCUUAAUUUGUAGAAUAUUUGCCUAUCGAUAUUUUCUCGGGUGAAUAUAUUCUUCAAUUUAGGUUUGAACGUUAUUGUUUACGAUUUGAAUUUCUGCGUUAUAUUUGUUGCGAAUAGUUCAGGAAGGUAUGCUUUCUAGAGCCAACUUUUGUUUUUUAGAUUGCGAUCUUCCAAACAAAUAACCGAAGCCAAAGGAACGCCGGCAUCGACUUGAACUUGCGCGCAUUGCUGUGAACCGAACUUUUGAGACGUUUUGUGUACGAGAACAUCGACCGUUUGCGUGAAGGUAUUUUUUGUGCUCACAAGAACUCUAAAAAAAUUUGCUAAUCACAAACUGCGAACAUUUUUGUUGUAUUAAGGGUGAGGCGAUCAGUAAAUAAGGCUGGAGUGGUUCACUGUAUCAUCCUGCCAUUUCAAUAUCGGUGGAGGUAGAGCCACAUUGGAGUAGAGCGUGUAACUGGAAAGCAAAGUACCCAAGUCAGAGGCAUAUAUGCGGGUAAUUUCAGAAACUAAGGUUUUCUGUAUCUGGUAAAUAAAUGUUGUAA